GUAUUUUACGCAUCAACUAACCACAUCAUAUGUUAUAGCAAUCUGUCCGUCGAUGACACAGUCGUUGAUGUGGCACGCAACCAUUGGUUGAUGCAUGCAAGGUCUGAGCAGGGGAACGCAACCUUUAAGUAUGGGGUCAUGUGAGUAGGAAGGGAGAGCAACAUGGCUGUGGUAUGAGAAACAAUGAAUUAAAUGUUUGUUUGAAAACUUGUAAAGUAAAAUAGUUUGAAAAUAGUUUGCUUUAAAAAAACAGUUCUUUGUAUUAUCUACCUGGUAAAAAGGGAAUUAGUGUACUAAUCUCACAUAAGGACUUCAUAUCAUCACCAAGGAAUGUCUAACACACAGCAGCAAGCAAUCGAUACACACUCAGCCGAGAGCAGGGAGGAAUUGUGGCAGUGUGGCCAUCACACAUUACAGGGUGGCCAAGGCCAAUAAGAAGAGGAGGGAGCUAGGGGAGUGAAGCAACGGCCGGUGGUGGUUAGUCCGCUCCCGGAGUCUGAGGUACGGGAGGUUCCUCCGCCCCCUCUGGACAUCGAGGGGGCCCCGGUGUACUCCGUUCGGUCCAUCCUGGAUUCAAGGCGUCUGCGAGGGGCCUUCAAUAUCUCGUGGAGUGGGAGGGGUACGGUCCGGAGGAGAGGUGCUGGGUUCCGGUGGAGGACGUGUUGGACCCUUCAAUGCUGCGGGAGUUCCACCGUCUCCGGCCGGAUCGCCCUGCGCCUCGCCAUUCGGUUCGUCCCCGAGGCCAGUAUCGGUGCACUGCUGGAGCCACGCGUCGGGGGGGG